ACUGCCUGGUGUCGCAGGUUGAAGAGCUUCUCAGGAGGAGGCAUAUAUAGGUGGCCCUUGGUCUUGUGCAUUUUGUGACAAAGGAAUUUCCCCUCUGAAUCGCAUUGCUCUCCUGGAGCCCCUAGAGCCUGUGGCUCAAGCAGCGCAAUCGGUCUGUGCAGUGUCCCUGACGUCAUCCAGCGUAUGCAUAAACCCUGCUAUUGUCUUACUGCUACAGCAGGGUUGGAGAUUGCAGUAUCCGCUGUUGCUGCUGCUCCCAGUCCUGCCCCUGCUGCUACCCAGUCCUGCCUCACUGCAUCUCAAAGAGCUACGUCGGCCUUCCUUUGCCUGGUGGAUUUUCCAAAGCUGCUUUUCGGUUUUUGGUGCUGUAAGAGACCUUGCUUUGCAAUCACACGGGAGAAAACUGAAGCUCGUGAGAGGAGAAUCUGGCAGCUGGACACAGCUUGGACUGCAUUGUCUGGCUUCAUGACCCCUGCUGUGUAGCCGGCUCAUCUCUUCACUCUCACACGUACACUCUCCUCGCUUUUUCUUCCUCCCCCCCUCCUUUUCUUUCUCCUAAUUUUUUAAAAGCAGCCUCUGGAGCCAGCCAUGUUUGGCACUGAAUCUUCAUUGAGCAUGUUUUUGAACACAUUAACACCGAAGUUCUACGUGGCUCUGACAGGCACUUCCUCACUAAUAUCAGGGCUUAUUUUGAUAUUUGAAUGGUGGUAUUUUCGCAAGUAUGGAACUUCAUUCAUUGAACAAGUCUCAGUGAGCCACUUGCGCCCCCUUCUGGGAGGGGUUGACAACAACUCUUCCAACAAUUCUAAUUCCAGCAAUGGAGACUCAGAUUCCAACAGGCAAAGUGUUUCAGAAUGCAAAGUAUGGCGAAAUCCACUAAAUUUAUUUAGGGGUGCUGAAUAUAACCGGUAUACUUGGGUGACAGGACGAGAGCCUCUUACCUACUAUGACAUGAAUCUGUCUGCCCAGGACCACCAGACAUUCUUUACGUGUGACUCGGAUCAUCUGCGCCCCGCAGAUGCAAUAAUGCAGAAAGCCUGGAGAGAGAGAAACCCCCAAGCUAGGAUUUCUGCAGCUCAUGAAGCCUUGGAGAUAAAUGAAAUUAGGUCCAGAGUUGAAGUUCCCCUAAUUGCUUCCUCUGCCAUCUGGGAGAUAAAAUUGUUACCAAAGUGUGCAACUGCUUAUAUUCUCUUGGCCGAAGAGGAAGCAACAACCAUUGCUGAAGCAGAAAAACUAUUUAAACAGGCUCUGAAGGCUGGAGAUGGCUGUUACCGGCGUUCUCAGCAGCUACAACAUCAUGGAUCCCAGUAUGAAGCCCAACAUAGACGAGACACCAAUGUCUUGGUCUACAUCAAAAGAAGACUAGCAAUGUGUGCCAGAAGACUCGGGAGGACCAGGGAAGCUGUGAAAAUGAUGAGAGAUUUAAUGAAGGAGUUCCCCCUUCUGAGCAUGUUCAAUAUCCAUGAAAACCUUUUAGAAGCGCUUCUGGAACUCCAAGCAUAUGCUGAUGUUCAGGCAGUCUUAGCAAAGUACGAUGAUAUAAGCUUACCAAAGUCAGCAACAAUAUGCUACACAGCUGCCUUGCUCAAAGCAAGAGCUGUCUCUGACAAAUCGCCAGUACCUACUGCAACAUCUUUUCUCCCUACACAGCGACUCCAGCUUGGGAGGGCAGGGCCAGGGUUGUCACAGCUUCCCCUGUGGUGUCUGCCUGCCAAGCACAGCUCUGGAGUUAGCCCUGGGUGUGAGAUUCUCUCCCGAGGCUGCCUCUCGGCGGGGGCUGAGCACAGCAGAGAUGAAUGCAGUAGAGGCCAUUCACAGAGCUGUGGAAUUCAAUCCUCAUGUGCCAAAAUACCUACUAGAAAUGAAAAGCUUAAUCCUGCCCCCAGAGCACAUCCUGAAGAGAGGAGACAGUGAAGCAAUAGCAUACGCAUUCUUCCAUCUUGCACACUGGAAGAGGGUGGAAGGGGCCUUGAAUCUUUUGCAUUGUACAUGGGAAGGCACUUUUCGGAUGAUUCCUUAUCCCUUGGAAAAGGGGCAUCUAUUUUAUCCCUAUCCAAUCUGCACAGAAACAGCAGACCGAGAGCUGCUUCCAUCUUUCCAUGAAGUCUCAGUUUACCCAAAGAAGGAGCUUCCUUUCUUUAUUCUCUUUACUGCUGGAUUAUGUUCCUUCACAGCCAUGCUGGCCCUCCUGACACAUCAGUUCCCAGAACUUAUGGGGGUCUUCGCAAAAGCUUUCCUCAGCACUUUGUUUGCACCCUUAAACUUUGUCAUGGAGAAGGUGGAGAGUAUCCUGCCAUCCAGCCUGUGGCACCAGCUGACGCGGAUCUGAGAGAAGCCCCGUGCUCCAGUCGCCUCCCCCAGCGGCUGCCACCAUCUCCUCUGUGCCAACUCCUCGUGGACCGCAAGAAAGCAUGACUGAAAAGGGAAGCCAUUCCGAGAUUUUAAACUGUUCAUGGACUGUUCCAUAUUAAAAGCUGUUUUUUGUUGUACAAAAUUUAUUGAUGUUCAGUUCUAUUUUAUUUUGCCUUCAGAAAAGAAAAAAGUAAAAAAUAAACUUUUGUGUAUUGCAGCAA